GACGAACGCUGGCGGCGUGCUUAACACAUGCAAGUCGAACGGGCCCGCUCUCUUUUUUGGAGGUGGGUUGCGUGGCGAACGGGUGAGUAUCACGUGAGUAACCUGCCCCCUGCUCCUGGAUAACUGCUUGAAAGGGCGGCUAAUACGGGGUGUGCCGGCUGGUCCGCAUGGGCCUGGUCGGGAUAGUUUCAUCUUCGGGUGUUUCGGCGGGGGAUGGGCUCGCGGCCUAUCAGCUUGUUGGUGGGGUGAUGGCCCACCAAGGCGGUGACGGGUAGCCGGCCUGAGAGGGUGGGCGGCCAGACUGGGAGUGAGACACGGCCCAGACUGCUGCGGGAGGCAGCAGGGGGGGGUAUUGCACAAUGGGCGGAAGCCUGAUGCAGCGACGUCGCGUGAGGGAUGGAGGCCUUCGGGUUGUGAACCUCUUUCUCCGGUGGUGAAGGCCCUGUCCGUUGCGGCGGGGUUGACGGUAGCCGGGUAUGAAGCGCCGGCUAACUACGUG
rnacentral:rRNA from 1 species